CGGUUAACUCCAGAGAAGGAAACUUCCCUUCUUUCUUCUAUCUGCAAGAGUUUUUGGUGCGAAAGAAAGAGAAGCGAAGUGCUGGUAUCUCGAGCGGCUCCCUCCCCGCGCGCGCCACCUCUCGGACCCGAGUAGCCGCCUAGAGUCAGCCUGUGCAUUCUCGAUGUCCUUUCUGAGGUAGCAUGUCUGAACAACAGGAUCAUGUUAGCAAAAGGUCUUGCUCAAGUAUUAGCAGCAGUACUCAGGGGAGUGAGGAGGAAGUGACCAUUGGUACCCUUAUAACUGAAGCAACCAACAGUGGAAAGAGUCUUGGAAGGCGCCUGUCCCACUUAGAUUCAAUCCCGCACACUCCACGAGUUAAUGGGAAAAUUCCGGAUGUUAAUAAUACAACAAUAGAUCAUGAAUCAUUAUUGGAAAGAUUGGGCACUUAUGGCUUAGCUGAAUACCAAAUAGAAGGAGAUGGGAAUUGUCAGUUCCGAGCUCUGGCGGACCAGAUAUUCCGCAAUCCUGACUAUCACAAACAUGUGAGGAAGGCAGUAGUGAAGCAGCUAAAGGAAUUCAGGAAACACUAUGAAGGCUAUGUACCGAUGGAAUAUAAGGUUUAUUUGAAGAAAAUGAAAAGAUCCAGGGAAUGGGGAGAUCAUGUGACCUUACAGGCGGCUGCAGACAAGUUUGGUGCUAAAAUAUGUCUGUUGACGUCGUUCAGAGACACAUGCCUUGUUGAGAUAGUCCCCAGAGAUGCCACUCCCACAAGAGGUUGAAAGCUUUGGCUAAGUUUCUGGUGCGAAGUACACUACAAUUCAUUGUAUGCAAUUGAAGAUCUGCCGACACGCAAAACUAAAAAGAAGCACUGGCUGUUAUAGCUCAGUAGGCUUCGGUGAUUUCUUGGAUUUGCUCUUGGUCUUCUCUACCUAGCCCAGCAGCAUCUGUAACCUUGCUUAGUUUUGCCAUUUUGCUAAUGUUGUAAGUUGUAAUGUGACCUGGAAACAAACUCUUGUAAGCUUAUGUACAGUGAAGUGCCGAAUUUUACUAGUGCAGUUUUGGGCUGUUUGCGUGUUUCGGUGGUCAUUGCGUUCUCCACAUUUCUGUGGUGUUGACGCUGUGUAAUUUGUGGCGCUCGCCGGCUCGCCGGAGCCUUUUCGCUUGGCAGUGCAACUGAUGGAUGCAGCACGUAACGAAUGGCGCGCACAGUCUGCUGGGACGCUUUGCUAAGCGGAAUGCAGAAAGUUUUCCUAUUCAUGCGGAAACUGAACAAUUUGCUGUGAAGUUUAGACCAUGAACUUUACAGGG